UAAGAGAGAAUCAGUCCAUUGGAUUAACAAAACCAUCUACAAGGAUCACAUCACCCUCAAAGAUUACGAGAUCCACGACGGCAUGGGCCUCGAGCUCUACUACAACUAAAAUUCCUCUUCAAAGGUGCUAUUAAUGGGGUAAUAUAGUAUGUGCUGGAAACUGGAUAAAUGUGUCGAAUGUAACUCUUGACUUGCAAAAAACCCCUUUGAUUGGAAUAAUGUACAUACCCGGAUGAUAUUGGGUUUAAUUUGCUGUUGGAACAAUCUGUUACUUUGUUAUAGAUAACAUAUUUGACAUGUUCCUGGUUUAUAUGAAUAUGCACUAUUUGUGGAACUAUCAUUGCCCUCUAAAUUCUAUUCAAAUCUAGAUAUUCAUACUCUUUACGUUCUUCAU